rnacentral:rRNA from 1 species
UACGAAGGGGACUAGCGUUGUUCGGAAUCACUGGGCGUAAAGCGCACGUAGGCGGAUUGUUAAGUUAGGGGUGAAAUCCCAGGGCUCAACCCUGGAACUGCCUUUAAUACUGGCAAUCUCGAGUCCGAGAGAGGUGAGUGGAAUUCCGAGUGUAGAGGUGAAAUUCGUAGAUAUUCGGAGGAACACCAGUGGCGAAGGCGGCUCACUGGCUCGGUACUGACGCUGAGGUGCGAAAGCGUGGGGAGCAAACAGG